rnacentral:snRNA from 1 species
UAACGCUGUAGUCGUUGCAAUACGCACCAAUCUUUCGCCUUUUACUAAAGAUUGCCGUGCGACGUCUUCAUAUAAUGCUAAUUAACCAAUUUUUUUUGGCGUUUAGGCGCCUA